rnacentral:lncRNA from 1 species
CAAACACAAAGGGCUAAUACCCGAUUCAAACGUUAAGGCGUGCCAGCCGAUUUGACCUUGCUAUCGGCAAAGGUGAUAACUCGAAUACUUUAGUCCUGACAACAGCGAUGCACCCGGAUGUCACGGCUAAGAGGUACUCACGCGGAACUCGAGAACACGCCGAGCUUAAGUCGACGAAUUCCUAAGAACUCGUAAUAAAUAAAAAAAAAAUAUGACGAAGUCGUCGAAAAGU